rnacentral:lncRNA from 10 species
GAAGUGAAUUAACAGGACAAGGCAGCUUGUAAAUUGUAGUUUCGCAAUAGUUUUUAGAAAGAACAAACAAACAAUUUUACCUAAAAUGACCAUUGAUCUUUGUUGAUUGGCUAAAUGGAUUCCACUAGCAAUGAUAGUUUAAAGGAUGAUAAAGCAUCAUAUUGCUUCAAUUAAAUAUAUAAAUAACAUGGUAAUUCUUAGAAUGUGAUUUUUGAUAGUUUUAUCUUUCAAAUAUAUCAGUAGCAUAUUCACAUCCCUUGUGAUUCUUUGAAGCUGUUUGGAAGGCUGUACAGGUUAUAACCCAUAGGCAGCAUUUUGCUCUAGUUUUUUUCGACCACAGAACAUUGAGGCCUACACUGAAUCUUCACUUGUGCCAUUGUUUUUCACUUGUGUCAGUUUAAAAAUGCAUUUCACAUCUUCUGUAAUUGGUAAUCCCAUUUUAUAUCUCUUUUAUUUAUUUUCUUUGCUUCAGUUUAUUAUUACAUACAAUCACAUGCAGUCCUAACAGAUUUUGGUGACAAAUACAGUCAGGUACAAACAUAGAAGGAAUUCCCACCUUUAUAUUUGUAGAAGUAUUUUCAAUUACCAUCACUCUUGAAACAAAAUCACAAAGAACAUACGGGAGAAAUUGUUAUUCUCAUUUUAUAAAGACACAAAUGCCCAAAGAAGUGAUAUAUCCUAUGUAAGGACAUACAUUGCUACCUUUUAAACACAAAAAAUGAAUAAAAUCCAUAAAAAAUCUAAGCCUAAAUUUUGUCAAAUCAUACUCAUGAAACUUCACUUGUCAUCACUGAGAUCCUCAUCUGCUUUCAUUUCUCAGGGGUACACACAGUAAGUCUCAGAUUUUCUUCACACUGCCUAUUCAUAAACAUAUUGAUUUAACAUGGGCAACCAGAUCAAGUGAAUGCUCAAUCAUGGGCAUAACUCUUACCUUGUUGAAAAACCAAACUGCUGAUGCCUGAAGAAAUGGUAUGUGUUAGUGUAGACACACAUACUCAUGUUAGAAAUAUGUACAUAUGUUUUUAAUACACAUACACAUAUUUUAAAUACCCACUGUUGGAUUUUUUUUUCAAAAUGCACUUGAAGAGAUUGUAGGCUUUAGUUAAUCAGUGCAGGAGUUUUAUACUUCAGAAACUCUCUCUCUGUCUCUCUCUGGUAUCUAGGCAUAAUUAAAGUUUAAUUGUGAGAAAUUUCCCUGAUAAUUCCUGAUUUAUCAAAGUUCAUCCAAAAUAUAAUUCCUACACAUUAAUGGUGUCAGUACUCUCAGAUUUGGGCUUAAAUGAAUAAGUCACUUCUAAUAUACCAAAGGAAAUAUGCUUCCUUGGAGAGUUUGAAAAGAGCAGAAUAAAAUUUGAGAAGAAAUAUAAUAAAUGAAGUUUUCAUACUAUUUAUAUCUCCUUUUCUGUAAAAUGUCCUUUUUAGAAGUAGUAGAUCUAGUCUAGGUACAUCAUAAAAUUCCUAACACCUAUGGCUGAAUUAAAUCAAAGCCAAAUGACCAUAUGGUAAAAUUAUUCACCAUGGAAUACUGCUUUUUAAAAUUCUUUUUACUUAGGCUACAGUAGUCCCCAGUCAAUCCUGAUGCAUUAAGAAUGUCUGACGCAUUAGCAUAUUUUAUAAUUGAGCUGAGAAAUUAUGUUACUAUUAAUUUAUUUUUGAAAUAUUAACUUGCUUUUAAAGGAAGUACAAUGAAUAAAUGUCAGAAAUAUUUAUGCCAACACAUUGUUAUGUCAGGUAUGCCCUUGAAAUUCCAAGCUACAUUAACAAGAAGACUGCUGGGCCUUUGAAGAAAGUUUGCUUUAUAUCCAGGCAAAUUGCAGUUUGAAUUGUGCUAUGGGGCAGGCCAAUAUGAAUAAAUAAAGAAUGGCACAGGCAUCAAAAAAUAAACUACUAUUAAUAUGACAUAAUUAAAGUAAUAUAGUUAUUAUUAACAAUAAUUCAGAGGAAUUAUCAAGUUUAUGCUUAUAUUGUUUGUUAUGAAAUUGUAUUACACUUUUAUUUUAGAGAAUGAUGUUUGGCGUUUAAUUAUGUGUGGCAACAUUUUUACUGUAAGAAUUCUACUUAAAUCUUGCUUUGUUCUAAAAUUUCAAAUUAUUUAUGGUAAGAAAAUAAGCCACCUUCUACACAUCUUUCUCUUAUAACAUCUAUUUUAUUAAAUAAACUUGUCUUUUAUGUUGCUUCAUAUAAAUAAGUUUUUGAGGUGGCUUAGAUAAUACCUGUUGAUUGAUUAUUCAAUGUAUUCAAAAUGUAUUAGUUAUAUUUUUGUAUUUAAUAUCUUAAUAAAUAUCUUAAAUGUAUUAGACACUAAUAAAUAAUCAAUAUAGGAUCUUAUGUUUAUUAUAGGCAAGUGUGUGGACUUACUAUAUAAUUUAUCAUCCUUGAUAAAUUAGGUAAAUAAAUAAAAUAUACAGAAGAAUGGCAUUUGAGGUAAGACAUCUCAUUAGUGAGAUUUUCUUGAAUCCUAAUAUUUGAGUACCAAGAACAGUGCUUUCCACAGUUUAUGUCUUAUGUGUUUUUGCACAUAACAUAUAUACUCAUUUACAAAUCAUUUAUAAAAU